ACAUGCAAGUCGAACGGAAGUCGUUAUAAAAAGGAUUGAGGAUUUAUCUGAUUGAGAUUUUAUAACAAUGGCUUUAGUGGCGGACUGGUGAGUAACGCGUGAGCAACCUGCCUACUAGAGGGGAAUAACAGUGAGAAAUCAUUGCUAAUACCGCAUAUGCCAUGAACAUCACAUGAUGAAAGUGGGAAAAGAGUAAUCUGCUAGUAGAUGGGCUCGCGUCUGAUUAGAUAGUUGGUGGGGUAACGGCCUACCAAGUCGACGAUCAGUAGCCGGACUGAGAGGUUGAACGGCCACAUUGGGACUGAGAUACGGCCCAGACUCCUACGGGAGGCAGCAGUCGGGAAUAUUGCGCAAUGGAGGAAACUCUGACGCAGUGACGCCGCGUAUAGGAAGAAGGUUUUCGGAUUGUAAACUAUUGUCGUUAGGGAAGAUACAAGACAGUACCUAAGGAGGAAGCUCCGGCUAACUACGUGCCAGCAGCCGCGGUAAUACGUAGGGAGCAAGCGUUAUCCGGAUUUAUUGGGUGUAAAGGGUGCGUAGACGGGAAAGCAAGUUAGUUGUGAAAUCCCUCGGCUUAACUGAGGAACUGCAACUAAAACUGUUUUUCUUGAGUGUUGGAGAGGAAAGUGGAAUUCCUAGUGUAGCGGUGAAAUGCGUAGAUAUUAGGAGGAACACCGGUGGCGAAGGCGACUUUCUGGACAAUAACUGACGUUGAGGCACGAAAGUGUGGGGAGCAAACAGGAUUAGAUACCCUGGUAGUCCACACCGUAAACGAUGGAUACCAGG
rnacentral:rRNA from 1 species